rnacentral:rRNA from 1 species
UACAGAGGUCUCGAGCGUUGUUCGGAUUUAUUGGGCGUAAAGGGUGCGUAGGCGGUGUGGCAAGUCAAGUGUGAAAUCUCGGAGCUUAACUCUGAAACUGCACUUGUUACUGCCGUGCUAGAGGGUUGUAGAGGAGAUCGGAAUUCACGGUGUAGCAGUGAAAUGCGUAGAUAUCGUGAGGAAGACCAGUCGCGAAAGCGGGUCUCUGGGCAAUUCCUGACGCUGAGGCACGAAGGCUAGGGGAGCAAACGGG